UCGCGGUUGGAUUCUCUCUCUCCAGAUUUUCUCCGACCAGAUGUUUUUUAGCAUCUAUUCUCUCUCUCGCUCCGGAUUCUCCUUAUUCAUCUCCACCAAUUCAGAUCUAUCUCGCGUCAGAUUCCCACAGUGAACGACACCAUCAGAUUCCAAAUUUUGAGUCGUGGCCACACUAAUUCCACUCUGAUUCUUGUCGUCGCUUUCCUGUCCUUGCACAUGUCUGGACCAGAUCUAUAUGUGGCCGGGCCAUCUCGAGCUCAUGCUGCCAUCGCCGCCAAACCAUCAUCAAGGGUGUUUCAUAUCCAAUUGAACUUCCGAGUCAAAAUUUCGAUUCACUCCAGAAAAUGUUCUGUCGAUUCUUGCUUCUUUCUGUUCGCUCCCACUUCAUGGCCAUCUUUCGAAUUCCUUUGUUUUGCCCAUUUAUGCCUUGCGCAAAGGGAAAGCGGGGUGUGUUCACUGCUUAAAAGAGCUUUAUCUGAUUGCCAAGGGUGAGGUUGGAUGGAUCAUCAUCAUCUGGACAGGAUCCGCCGAUUCAAAGGAUGAGAUUCUUUGGGUUCACUCUCGGCACUCCUGCCGGUCCGACAUAGUUUCAUCAACCAACCGCAACGGAGGGCAAUCUGAGUCAUCAAAAUCAUCCGAAAAGAUACGCCAAGCAUGAAGAUUGGCGGUGGUGAGCACGGAGAGAAAACAAGGAAGAAUAAAAGUCGCGAAGCAGUGGAUGGAGAUGAUUCGAAUUUUGCGUGGGGACUGGGGAAAACGGGGCAAACAAGGUGAAACCGGCGGUGGUUCUUUGGAUGAGAAGGAAGUAAAGUGUUGAAAUUUUUUUUAAAAAAAGAAAUAAAAGAAAAAGAAAUAAAAGACGAAAGGAAAAUAUAGAGAGCCCAUGAGAAAUCGGUCAAAAGGAAGACUUGCACGAAAAAUGUAAUCCGUCAUUAUAUUGAGCACCUUCAUUGCAAACUCGAUCCCUCCUCCACAGUGCAAUCGACGGCAAUGGGAAUUCGGCGAGAUAAUUGGAGAAAAAUGAAAUGAAAUAGAUAUCAAUAGACGUAGUCAAUAUGUAUCAAAAUUAAUUCUAGAGUCGAAUGGGAUAUGAAAUGACCUGGUGGUGAGUACCAAUAUUGACCUGACAGAUAUCAUCAUUGUUACAGAAUGGUCUCAAUCUCGAUUUCUCUUUGGGGCAACUCAACGAACACCUUCCCUAAUGUCCAUCUUCAUUUUUCAGCAAGUCUUCCUCCAUCAGGGUCGUUUCCUAUCCGAAUGAACUUCCGAGUCCAAUUUCGAUUCAUUCCAGUAUACGUUCUAUCGAUUCUUGCUUUCCUUCAUCUCCGCCUUUCGGAUUUCAAAUGCCGUUGCUCGCGUCCUUCGUUUCGUCUCUCUAUGCCGCACACAAUGGGGAUGUCUGGCUGGUGGAUAGGAUCUGCCGAUUCGAAGGAUGAGAUUCUUUGGGUUCACUCUCGGCCCUCCCGCCGCUUCAAGAAGCAGCAAGGACUUGCACAAAAGAUGGAAUAUCUUGAGAGCAAGAUUCAUCCCUAACUCAACCAUCAUUUUCUUUUUCUUUUCCUUGAAAAAGGCCAUCAAAAACUCCAAACGACGCCAUCAAGGACGCCCAUUGCGUCUCUUCGCUUCAAGUGCCUUUAUUGGAUCUCUCCCUCCAUCCCGACGCGCUCCCCGGCUCAGUGAGUUCCGAGUCGCUCCACCAUCACCCUCGCUAUCAACUCGCCUCGUGAUCGAUUCCGUCGCUCGCUGUCUUUAGAAACUCCGGUGAUCCUCUCUCUCUCUCUCUCUCUCUCUCUCUCUCUCUCUUUUCCUGUCCUUCUUCCGGUUCGAAUCAUGCAUUCGUUUUGUGGAUUCUUAGGUGUUUUGACGGAGGUUUGAAUCUGGUGUCCUUGAGUGAUGUUUAAUGCUAUUGUCGUUUUGCUCAUCGAUGGAGUUCAUGUCGGAUUUUUUUUCUUUUUUCCUUGUUUCGAACCGUGAAUCCGAGACCACUUGGAAACGAGCGAUGAUUGAACUGAAAACGUCCUGAGAAAUCGCCGCAGUGAGCGAAAGUUGUGCAGAGUUAAGCUCGGUCGAACAGUGGUUCGGUUUUCCUCUAUUUUUUGGCAUUAUAUAGUCACUUCUGGAUUCAGUUGUGGUGCGAGGGUGACUCGCUAGCCAUUCCUGAUCGGUCCUUCGGUUAACGCUUUUCUCUGUAUAGAUUUCUGAGCGGCUUGGGACUUGGAGAUGGGAGUAGCACCGAUGAGUUAUAACAUAAAAGAGGGGACGCUGGAGAUCGGCAUGGGUGAGCUUUCGGCCCUCUCCGCUUUCCAAAUUUUUUUUUUUUUUUUUUUGGAGCUACGGACAAUAAAGAUCUGCUGGGAUGCUUAAAUCUCGUAAUUAAGUUUUGUCUGUAUUGUGGGGAGUAGCUUUCUCUCCUUGUUCGUGGCUUAUUAUGUCUUUCGCCAUCUAAAUUUCACCGUGCUUGGAAUCAGAACUUUAGUCAUGGGAUAUUGUUGUUUUCGAGGCUUUCCAUAUAGCUUUCUCGUUUCUGAAAAGUUUAUGCUGCCCCUGUUAUGACAACGGUUAAUACAUUUAUUACUUAGAUCUACACAAUCUCUAUCAUUUCAUAUAUAUUGGCUGAGAGGUGAGGAAUGAUUUAGCUCUUGUCUGAGUCAAAUGUUUAGCAUGCCUUAGUCGCUGGGUCUUGUUAUUGGUUGUUCAAACAAUUGCUUCGCUACUUGCAGAGUAUAGGACCGUCUCUGGUGUUGCUGGGCCGUUGGUUACACUCGACAAAGUCAAGGUAAAUUUCACCAGUUAUAAUUUUAUGAGGUUCAGUGGACUCCUAUACUAACAUGUUGGAUUAAUUUUAUUGUAUAUCAGGGACCAAAUUAUCAAGAGAUAGUAAAUAUCCGCUUGGGUGAUGGAACAACUAGACGUGGACAAGUCCUUGAAGUUGAUGGAGAGAAAGUUGCUGUGCAGGUUCAGUCUCAGUUGCCAGCCUCUUCUUUUUUCCUUUAGCUCUCUUGAUACUGCAUUUUUGUUGUUUGGACUGCAAUACUUGGGUCAACUUUGUGUGCAAUACUUUUCAGCUGAUGACCCAGUGAAUUCUCUGUCAUUCAUUGCAAGCAUUAGAAAAAGCAGAACAUGAAGAGUAUUAUCUUAGGUAUAUGUGAUGAAAUGUGAGAACAUCAUAUGGGAUGAUAAUUGAAAUGUGAUAGAAUUUCUUGAGAACAAUGUUAAGAGUCUAAUUAGCAUUCCGUUUAGGCAAUUAUAGAUCCUCUUUGCUCUCGAGUGAUGGAAGUCUAGUCAUGGUGUGGGUUAUUUUGGCUCUGCAAAAGGCUAAUAAUCUUUCCUAUAUGUCUCUAAUUGUUGUCAAACUUCCGUAGGUUCUGUUAUUCACUAGUUUCUUUGUCAGUAAAAUUUAAAUAUAAGUAUUCUACUCAUGCUUGUGUGAUCGGUGGUUGUUCAUCUUAGACUUCCAGUACGUAAAGCUUUCUGGUCAUCCAUGUUUCACUCUCUUGUCGCUAGGUUUAUGAAGGUACUUCUGGGAUUGAAAACAAAUACACCAUUGUGCAAUUCAUUGGUGAGGUAAUUAUGCAUGCUGUUUGUUUUUGUUUUCCUAAUAAAACAAUGUUUCAUCAUUCUGUAGAAAGAAAGAGUUAGAUUUGUUUUUUUCCGUAUUUGGGAACUAAAUGCUCCUACAUGUUGGCAACAAGAUUUCACUUGUAGCAUGAGAAAUAAUUUGGCAUAUGUCUUGGGCUUGGCCUCAUGAAAGGCUGUCAAAAGUGCAUUGUUUUCCUACCUUUACAAAUCUUUUUAGCUGUGUCAGCAUUUACUCUCUUUAAUCUUGGAUAAAUAAAAAAACCUUUAGAAAUUUAUUGUGGAGUUCUCACAUUUUUCUUUUAAUGCAGGUUCUAGAAAGCCCAUUGAUAAUGGCUCUCCAAUUCUGCCAGAGGCUUACCUGGAUAUUUCUGGUGAGUUGUGUCAUUGUGAUAGUAAUUUUGAUUGGCCAUGGAGCCAUUUAUACUUCAUGGCACCUAUGGCAAUCCCAAGAUCCCAGUGAAAGAACCUUCCUGGAAGAGAUGAUACAAACAGGAAUUUCCUCCAUUGAUGUAACGAAUUCCAUAGCUCGUGGACAAAAGAUCCCACCUUUCUUUGCUGCUGGUCUUCCUCAUAACAAAAUAGCUACUCAGAUUUCCGCCAGGCUAGUCUUGUGAAGCGAUUGGAGAAGGCUGAUGGUAUUACCAAGAUAUAUGUUGCAUCUUUGUUGUAUACCAAUGUUAUAAUACCCUGCUCUAUGAGUUUUAUUGCCUCGAUAAUUUAAGGAACUACCAUUAGUUUUACAGAAUUUUCCUACGGUUUUGGAGUUCAGGUUCAGAAUUCACCUACAAUGUAUUUUAUCCUUUGACUAACUAGCUCCACUAUUAUAUGCUAGACUUCUCAAUUGCUAAAUGCAUUCUUUGUGAAGAUUUUUGAUCUUAUUUUAUUUGUUGUUUUUUUGAGAAUUCGAUGUUAUGAGCCUUCAUCUUUCUAUUCCAAACACUCUCUUUCAAUAUCAUUUAUGAAAAUGUGCUGCAAAUUUAUGUAGGAUGACAAAGAGGACAAUUUUGCCAACAAUGUUGCCAUAGUAUUUGCUGCUAUGGGAGUGUACAUGGAAACUGCACAAUAUCUCAAACGUGACUUGGAGGAAAAUGGGUCAAUGGAGAGAGUGGCCCUUUUUCCUUAAUCUGGUAAUAUCUAAUGAGCUAAUAGUUAAUUGUCUCGCAGAUUGUUUCUUUCUGGCAAUUUUUGCAAGUUCGUAGAUUCAGUUCGUGACAUAUAUCCUUGCUGAUUAAAGGGUUGUACGGAUGCCUGUAUUUCAUUUUACGAAGUUUGCUAUUUUCUUUAGGCCAAUGAUCCAACUGUUGAAUGCAUCAUCACUCCACGAGUGGUGGUCACAACUGCUGAGUAUCUGGCUUAAGAAUGUGACACAUCUAUAGUGAUUUUUUUAUUUAUUUAUUGUGAUGUCAGAAUUUCAAAAUUAUAUCCACUAUGGAUGAGGAUAGGCGGGGCUUGGGGGCCUUGGGAAGAACCAGUAGGGGAUUGUGACACCCAUCGAAGCAAAGUUGUGUCCUAAGAAUAUGGGUAUGGGUUUCAACGACUACCAAAGAAACCCCUGCAAAGGCGCCUGCUGCCUCGUUGGAGCCAGAGGAAAAGAAGCCAUCACCUGAUGUGCCUGGUAAGGAGGAGCUUUUGUCUAAGCAAGCGAACAAGACGAUGCUGAAAAACAAAGCGAAACACAUUACAGCAGAAGAGCUGUUGGCGAAGAAGCAGGAACAGGGUGUUGAAGUUGUGCAAAACGUACACAACAUGCGUGGACCUCAGGUUAGGGUAUUAGCAAGCCUGGAGAAUCUGAACGUGGAAGAGAAGGUGAGGGAGAGUGAUAUUCCUAUGUGCGAGCUCCAGCACAAUAUAAGGUCGAUUGUGGACCUAGUUGAGUUGGAUAUUCAGAAGAUCGAUAGGGACCUGAGGAAUGAGAAGGAGAAAGCUCUGAGCUUGCAAGAGGAAAACAGAAGCUACAAGCUGAGGCAGAACUCCAGAAGAAACAAAUGAAUAAUCUAGCAACUAAAUUGUGCACAUGGAACAGCGGAAGCACAAUCACGGUAGAGUCUGAUUCCGUUAGUUUGUACCCCACCUUAUGAUGCCAAAUUGCGCUGAGUUAGCAGCAUGUGAUUGGGGAGGGGUGGCCCAUAGCGCUGGAGGUGUGCAAGAACAUAGCUACAUCCGAGGGAUCGUUGACAACUGUGGACAUCGAGUCGAGGCUCGGCUCGGCUCUACGUCGGUCGAAGAGAGAGUGAUUUGGUAGAGUGAAGAUUGGCGGUUAGGUGGGGGAUGUUGAGCUUGGAAGCAGCGGAUUGAGCCCGUCGGUUUCCUUCUUGCAGUGUCAAUAGGAGCUUCGGUUCUGAGUCGGAAAGGUAGAACUUGAGCACCUUAGCUGUGUAGAAGGGAUUGAGCGGAGCUGCGGUGGCUCAGCAAUGGAUUACCGCUGGAAACAGGAUCACAAACUGCAAAACGAACACAUUUUCCAAUAAGAAAACUAUCACACCAGUCCCUGCGGAUUGGAGAUACACAUACAUAUGCAGGAUAUGCAGACAACUAGUUUGUCAACAUUUAAUUUCAUUAAAACCAUCCAUCUCCUUUUGAUAAGCGUUGACUUUGUUUUACGAUGAAUCGGUGCUUGUACAUCCCAGAAAACAACCCUUGGACCCGACAGAAAAUUCUCUUCAUGCUUUUCCCAUUUCAAUUUGUUCCUGUUCAAUUUGCACCACGCGCUCGCAGAAAUUUCAUGCCUCAGAUGCAAUUUUUUUCAGUAGAAAUCGAUGCCAUUUCCGUCUCUCUGUUCUCGAAGUACUGUAAAACUCCAAGAAACAUCUACCUCUUUCUUUCCCAAGCUAUUUCCCAGUCGAUGUUUCGCAAGUCAUCGAUCUCAUCAUUAGAAAUUCAUCGUCACCGCAAUCUUCCAGAUAUUGUGUUCUCAAAUUUAAACAGCAUCAUCCGUACUUGCGAACAGACCGGGAUGACACAGACAUACCUCGAUGUUGUUGAGGAAAGUAAGCGCGGCGGUGUCGGUGCGAGGCAGUGAUGAGUACGGUGGUGCAAUUGACAAGCUCCUGCAGCCGCAUGUGUGUCAGGUCGAGCUCCUCGCAGGCGGAGACGGCUCUCUUGUUGGGGAAAUCCGAUGUUGCCUUCUUCAAUAGGUCCGUGAGCGUAAGUUCUCCCAUCACUAACCACAGGGAACGAAUCGACGGCAAUCGGCUUCAGCCGAAACCAAUCCCCGAUCAAACUGAAGAGGGGCACCACAAUCGCUUGGCGAGACAAGAAUGAAGGAUCGACAAGAACAGGAAUUCGCACGUAUGCAUAUGAGAUGGAAAUGAGACCAGAGGGAGGAAGGGAAGGAAGUUGAUGCAAUCGAGGUGGCUCCGCGGCCAGUGCGAGCUCGGUUAAGGUGGCGACGGAGACUUAACGGAUCAAAGGCUGUAACUAGUCUCACUAAUGUCUUCGCAAGAAAAUGUUUCAAUAAACUAAUGAUAGCCACGUAAUCAAUACAUUUGUCCAUUCAGUGGACGACAAGUGGCACUAUGGCGGCCCGCUCUAUCAGCAAGUCUGCAAGUCCAUUCUGCACGACAAAAUAAAUGUCGUCCAAGUUUGAGAUAAGAAAUGAAAACCGCAGCAUCAGAAAAGGUCAUCACCAAAGGAUUAAAAUCCAGUCCAAGUUUGGGGCAAUGGCGAUUCUUGCACAGAUUGUAUAUAUGCGAAGAUCAAUGGCGAUUCUGACAGUCCAUUCUUUGCACGCACACACGCAGAUCUCCUGCUCCUUCACAACAAAAUACACAUUCAAAACUCAAUUAUGUUCAUACAGAACACUUUAACUCGAACCAGAGGAAUCAACAAGCCACGAGACAGCAAUUUUCAUGUCAUACGCCGAGCAUACGAGGUGAGAAUACUAACACUAUUUGACAAAUGAGCAUCCUAUUCUGACAAAGUCGGCCAUAAUAAGUAUUCAAAAAGUUGAGAACAAAUCGAAUUUAUGUAAUAUGAUUCUGCGGUUUGAGAAUUGAAUCGAAUUUACAUACUGAUCUAGUUCGAGCAUUUUAUCAAACAAGUAAUGUGCAUUUUAACCAAGGAGCUCAUACGCCAAUGCACAGCAAGGAUUGACUUUCAGAUCAUCACGAAAAUAACAGCACAAGUCCGAGUUGUUAAAUAAAGCUUCAAUCUCAACUGAUUUACUCACAGACAUUAGCUAAAGCUAACCGGCUCUGUUUCGUUCAUGAGCAGCAGAAACAGAGUGCGUGGGAUUUACCUUGAUGAGAGUGAGUUUUUCACUUCGGUCCGUGAUCAGAUCGGAGAAAAGUUACUGGCGCUCUCCACGUCGACGAUUGACCUCUGGCUCGUGCACGUUUGGGCGGCAUGACCAGAAAACAGAGCAGAAGGAGAGGAGGCCUUGCGGCAACGGAACCGGCAAUGGUGGAGCCGCUACGGCAGCGUUUCGACAGUGUCUAAAGGACAAUGGAGAAGGAGAACCGAUGAAGGAUCCUCUAGAAUUCCAAAGAGAGAGAGUUUCUUCGUGAGCUUCGGUGUGUGCGUUCUAUCGUGUCAUCGCUGAGCCUGUGGUGGCCGUCGAUGGUGGUGCGACGGUGGCUGUGGUGAUUGUAGACGGCCGACGGUGGUCUGGGCUUCGCCUUGUGGAUAAGGUCUGGGCUACACGAAUUAAACCAGGCCCAACAAACCGGACCAGGUCCUUUCGAUUAUGAUUUUUUCUUUCUUUCUUUCUUUUCUUUCUUCGUUUGUUAUUUAUUUUUAAUAUUAUUUUUUACUUUUUAUUUAUUUAUAUUUACCCAAAUGCAUGUUCGACUUGUUGGCAAAAAUUCAGGAGUCAAUAGGAGCAAUAUUCCAUCAUUUGGCCUAAGAACAACUUCACACCAAACUCAAUUACAAUUCAUUGUUUGUGCAAUAUUGUGACAUUAUUCCCUUAAAGAUUAGUCCUUGUACUUAACUCUUCCAUCCUUGAGUUGAAUUUGAGCGCUGAUAGCAUGGCUGCACUCGUACUUGAGUUGAUUUCUUGUAGAAUCGAUGCACACAGUACAGUUUGCAUCUCGAAGCGCAUUUUGCACGUUCUGUGCACGCAACACAUCGCGAUGGAAUCAUCAUGCUCCUGUAAUAGUUGUACACAUGACUUGCCAUCUUAAUUUAUCAUCAUAUAGGUGAUGCGUGUACUUUUAAGAUUGCCACUUUAUCUGUGUUCUUAGCACGUAUCUCAGUAUUGAUUUGUGCAAGUGGGUGGCACAUAUUCCGUCCAUGGUCUCCUCUGUUGAAUACUCUUGGCCAAGAGAUUACAAUGUCCUCUUUUGACUAACAUCCUCGUCUGUGCUUUGUCGUAUACGGUUUGUUAGGCAUUUAUACAGGUUAGAUACUUUUUGUGAUCAAGAGCAGUACAUUCCAUCCUAUAACAUCAAUUAUCUUGUGGGAUUGUGACGAACAUCACAUCAGGUCCGUUUUCACGUUCUCGUUCUUUCGCCCUUCGCCCGCCACUUGUAUCCGGCAAACUCAAUAAGAUAGCUCCACCACCCGUCAUUUCUCCGGCCUGCCAGAAUUUCUUCCGAUUUCCGUGUCUUGUUGCGCGCGAAUCAGUUGAAGUCGGAAGACGGUUUCGUAAAAAUCUCCCUUCUCAAUCUUCAUCGUCGUCUUCUUCUUCAGCUAGGGCUUUGUUUUCAAAUUCGUCCCAUGUUCGAGGUUAUCUCAUGUUUUAUUUUUUUGGUUAUGUUUUUCCACUCGCGCUAGUGACUUCAGAUCAUGGUAGGCUACCUUAGAGUGUCAAAAGGAAAAGUUCCGAAACUAGCUGAAAAAGACGAGGAUUGAGAGUGUAUAUAUGGGUCUUUCUUUAUCGAACUGGCUGUUUGAAAAUGCGGAUGAGCAGACCACUCCUUGUGGCUUCAUCAAGAAACAUCUUCAUGACAGCAAAGUAGUUGCCACUCUUCAGGCAUUUAGACAGAUCGCGGCCGGAGAAGUUAAGGAGCUAUGUGCACGUGGCAAUAAUAUCACGUCAAGUGUAGAUGUCUGCGUGUUUUGAGCUCGUCGAUGGAGAUGAUAUCGUGUUCAAAGUCUCAAUUUUCGGCCCUGCUGGUGCGUACCAGAAUUUAUUUGGGCAAAUCAACUGAAUCUUGAUAUGCAUGGCCAAGCAAUUUUCAAUCUAUGCUACAUCUUUUCAUAGUUAGUCAAUUCAAGAAACUUUCACGCCACUGUCUACUAAAUUCCUCAUCAUUUAAUUGGGAGAAAAGGUUAAUCAACUAAAUCUUGACCCUUAUCCCUACCAGUUUUGGAUCUAAGUGCAACUUGGUCUCCUUGUCAUGCAAUCCCCAUCGAUAUUGACGUCCAAGAACCACAUCUGUCGCUAGACGUUAGACGACGUGGGAACGUUAUUGGAGGGGCUUAUGACAUCUCAAAGUUAGAAAUUGGAUGGGAGAGAGGGACUUCAAGAUAAAUAUCCUUGUCCGAAUGAUCAUCACAUUAUACAGUUACUCAAAGUGUUAUUUUCGAGAGUGGGUCGGAUGGUUAAACCAUUGAACGGUACUACGGACAUCCAAUCAACCGAGUUUUAAAAAAGACAGAAAUUGGAGAAAAGGAAGAUAGUUUUAUUAAAUAAAGAGGCAAAGGUUUCGGAAAAUAGCAAAAAGUGGAUAAAAUAGCUAAAGAAGGUCCUACACACGUUCUCUGCCCUAUCGAACGCCAUUGCUCACCUGCUAGCUACAACGGCUACGCGCUUGCACCCUCUCUCUUGGAAAAAUGGGCUCUUGUGGGCACCACAUGCACCCGAGUCCCCAACUAGCCAGGUUGGAAGAGGAAAAAAUAAACAUAAAUGUUUUGAAAAAGCCUUUUUCUUAAAAAUAAUUGAUUAUAUCUCGAAUAGUCAGUCAAAAAAAUGUUUUUAUUACCAAUAACAAUUUAAUCAUUUUCAUUUAUUCAUUUUUGCAAGUGAUAAAAGCAAUUAUUUAUAGAGAAAUAUUUUUCAAAAUGUCAAUUUUUCACGAAACAAAUGAAUCGGUUUUCAUUAUUUUUAUUUAUUUAUUGCCAUCAAGUUCGUCUCACCAUUGACUAAUAAGUCAUAAUCUUACUUGACUCUAUCCUCUGAAACUUGAAAAAAAUACAAUAUUAAUACCCCAAAACUCCGGCAACUUUUUAGAAGCCCACAAACGAUAAUGUUACGAAAGAAAUUGGUAUAGCCUUUUCAUUUCCAGUUUGUUUCAUCUACAACAUUGCGACACCGAAAUCUACUUCCCGAAGUAAAUUGAGAGAUUCACGUGGUCGCAUUGAUGGCAAGCGUGCAGUGUAUCUGAUCCUUUGCGGUUCUUGAACUGCGACAAUUUGGUAUAGUAGAAUGAGGAAUAUUGUCUCUCUAAUAAACAUGAAGAAAAGCAAACCCAAAUAAUAAUCCAUUCAAACCCUAGAGCACCAGAGCAUGUAAUUAACAAAUUGAAUUCGACACGACUGACUAAUUACCCUUGUUGCCAAACGGAAUAACAAUUUAGAGAAUAGCGGUUAAGCUAUACAACAAUAGGUCACCCAUCAAAUUUUAUGAGGGCAAAGAGUGUCAUUGAAUAGCAAAAGCAAUUACUAAUUUACUAUUUCGUAACAAGACGAGCAUGUCCAUAAUCUGCCAAUGAUUGCUUACCCUUUCAAACAAAAUAAGGUAGGAAAAAAGGACGAAGGAGGCGUGAAGCUUUCUAAGGCUAAUACCAAACAUUAGCCUCAGAAAGCUUCACGCAAAUUAUCCACCCCUUGACGACAACGCAUACAAAUAAUGCAACACACUGCAUGUAAAAAUAAGCUGACUGCAAAUCUGAAAAAAGCAGAGGGUGAGGACGAACUUUGGUAGGAGGGACAUAUCGGAUAUGUUAGACAGUUCAUGAGAACCUCUCAUUUUGCACGCCACAGAUGAUUCUCACGUCCGAUAGAUCCUGAGGGUGAUGAGUGAUCUAAUGAGGCAGGAUCCAGUAAAGCUUCCUCUCGGUGGGAUGGCGACGUCUUCACAGGGGUUGGGAGUGUUGGGCACUGAAUCUUGCUACAGCUCUUCUUUAAACUAUAGGGACUGAUAUAUCGCCACAGCCGACACGCAGCGUAGCAAAAUUGAAUGUCGUAAAAUCCAUGACAAACCUGAGGCCAUAGAAAGCAGCGUUGACUUCAACUCCAACGAAACCAGCCUCUGUGAUUGCAGAAUCAACAACCCUCUCAGGUCCAUACUACUAAAAAGAAAAGAAGCUUUAGACACAUUGAAAGACUCUAGGAUCUGCAAACAUUUCCUCAUCAAACGCAGCAUUCAUGGCCUCUCUCACAAUCAUCUCUUUCCCAUAGUAUCAUAACUACGUAAAGGCAUUUCUGCAGCACAACUCUUCCGUGGCCUUUCUCUUGACAACAUAGCAUCCGAGGGCUUUUCGUAUUAGAAUCGAUAACAUCAUGCGCUCUUGAACUCGAACUUGCUCUCUCUCUCUCUCUCUCUCUCGAACGGGUAUCCUUGGAAACAAAGUCCAGCUUCGUCAUUCCAUCGAACACCUUCCUUGCAAACUCGAUUCCCUCCUCCACAGCACAACCAACGGCAAUUGAAUUUCAGAAGACAGCGAGAGAAUUGGGAGAAAAAACAAGAUCGAAACAGAAAUCAACAGACAAAUCUGGAACGAAUCGAAAUUCAUUCUAGAGUUCAACGGGAGACGACGAAUUUCGUCAUCGCUUCAAUGUUACGAGGAACCGGCUGUCUCUGAAGAUCUCUCGAAGCAAUGAUCGUAAGAGAUUCCAGUUGACAGGCUCACUCCCUCAUGGUUUCGUACAGAGAGAAAGAGAGAGAUUCUUCUCUGAAUUUUAGACACCUCGUUCUUUUCUCCUCUCUCUCUCUUUUAUUUUAUUUGCACUCUUGUUAUUUCUUUUUAUUUUGUUUUGUGUCUUUGAUUUGUAUUUUAUAAAUAAAAAAUAUACAAAUAAAAUUCAGCUUCUUCAAUGAAGGAACUGAAUUUUAAUAUUCUAUCCCCUCUUUUCUUUUAUUUGUAUUUUUGUUAUUUAUUUUUUAUUUUUUACAUCUUUAAUUUGCCGGUUAAACUAACGAUACAGUCAAAAAGUUGAAGCUAUGCUCCAAUACUGGAUGAGCAUCACUCUUUAAUUUGGCCAUAAGCGAAAUCCAUGCAAGUAGCACGUACCAACUAUGCCAAUCCAACAAUGCAUGCUCCUUGGCCAAAGCAUUGGACAUCACCAUAAGAACCACCGGCAUAGUGGUCUAAUCAUCGGGUCUCAAUGUCAGAUUUUCAAAAUAUCUUUCAGUUGGGCCCAAUUUAGGAAAUUUGGAUUUUAGUUAAAGCUGAGAUGGCCCAUAUCCGCUUUUUUUGUAAUUUAGAAAUAAUGUCUUAUUUUCCUUCUCACCAAGCCUCUUUCAUUUUCCCCGAUCUCUCGUUCUCUCUUGUCUCAUGAUCAUCGAGUCGUCCAGUCCCCACCAACCCGCCACCGCGCCACCUUCGAGCCCUGAGCUCUGCUUUCUCUCUCUCAGUCUUUCUUCUCGUGUCUCGCCCACAUGUCAGCGAGUUACAAAGCGAGAGAUGGGACGGACUCACUUUUUUGCUCGUGUCAUGGUCUCCCUCCCGCUCCCCCUCUCUCCAGCAAGUGGCAAAACAGGUUUUUACUAGCCUGUUCUGAUGUCUUCAAGGUUUUUGAAUUUAGGACGUGCUAUUUGAAUUUCUCAUGGAGAGUAAAAGCAAAAAAUAAAAUAAAAUAAACACUUUUUUUUUUAAAUAUCGGGCUGUGCCAGACCCUUGGAUCUGGGCCAUAUGGCAUGGCUUCAGUCCGGGCCAGGUCCUCAGUCACACAUUUUUGGACUGACCCUCGAAAUAAGAAAAAGGUUUCGCUCUGGUCCUUUGGCCACGAGGCCUUUAUUGGCUUCCACAGCUAAUAGGUGGUCCAGCGAAUGACCGCAGAGCCGUUGGAUAUGAUAAGGGACGCUAUUCUUCCAUAUCAGCUAACCUCACAAGUUUUCGGAGAACGGUUUGGUUUCGCCUCUUCUCUUUGUGUUUUUCCCCUUUCUGGGGUUCCUUUUUUCUCUCCCCUUUCUCUCAGCAUUGUGUAAUAUCAGCUCAUGCGAGCGAGCCAAUUGUGAGAAUUGCUUGUAAUUUUCUUGUUUUUCGUUUCUUUUCUUGGCAAAUGGAGCAACACCUAAAACUCCAAUCGCAUUUCAUUAAAUUGGGUAUCAUUCAUCCGGCCAAACCUACAACUUGAGGUGAGUUGUUUUCUUUCGUGACAAAAGCAGGAACACUAGCAUCUUACUAGUCAAAAGUUAAAAAGACUUUUAUCAAGAUACGAUAGUUGGAGCUAUAUAAUUCGUGAUAAAAUAUUGUGCUCUUCUAUUUCCUAUUGAUCGAGUGACAUGCAAAGACUAACAUAAUUUCUAAAAUAAAGGGUUUAUUGUUAUUAGCCCGUGAGAAGACCCAGGAAAAGGGCGAAACAAGAAUUGAAAACGUGUCGAAGAGGACAAAGGAAGAGCAAAUUCUUAUCUGGGUGCGGGGAAUCAUGACCAAAGGGGUUCUCAUCGUUGUCGUUAAUCGUUAAACGUGUCGUUAACGGCUCGAUCUCGGGUGCACGAAUCCGGAUCCAAGGCGAAAAGAGGGAAAGGGCCCCGUCCUGAGGAUGAUCGGGCGCGGGAGGAGGGAGGGAACCCGGUAAAAGCGGUAGGGUGGCGGGGCAGGGGAGUGCACCGGCAGACUACUCCUGUUCAAUUUCGAUUGGGUUUGUGAGGUUAAUAAUAAUUCAGACGCACACUCAUUAAUGCCACAUUCCAAGCCUAAAUGAACUGAAAAGGACGUGCUUCUGGAUGUCCUUAUCCUUUCUCGUUAUGUUGUUCUUCAUUUUGAAUUUGAAAUUAAGUGUCAUGACGUAGUUAAAAUUAUGGGUUUUAUUUUUCCCACGGGGAACACCAAAGAGGUUCAUGAGAAAAUGUAAUGAGAAUCUUCCAAUGGCCUGUGGAAUUGGAAAAAAUGUGAUGAGAUGAUUUGGUUAUCAAACGGUUGGGAUGAAUUCGUAGAGCGUUACUCUAUCUGCGAGGGACAAUUUUUGGUCUUCAAAUCUGAAGUGGACUCCAUUUUCCAUGUAAUCAUAUUUGAUAAAAGCAAGUCCAAGAUAGAAUAUCCACCAACAAAUGCCAAUGGUAGGAACCGACCCUCAGCAGUUGGGCAUUUGUCUGGUUGAAAGUGGAAGAUGCCGACGAUUUCCGUGAUGUUUCGGUCAAGCUUGAAGUCUAGGGGGAUGAAUUGCAUUCACCCAAGUGUCCUCGGCUUUGUAAGGCAAUGGAAUCUGAUCGGGUUUGCGAAGUUCAUGACGGUUCCUAUGCACACUCAUCAGCACAGAGUUUGCGAGGAGACGGAAGUUCGAACUACUUAUCAUGAGAUUUUCAAUCCAUUUGAUUGUGUUCUUGUGUUUGAUUCCAAUUCCGUAUUCCGUAUAGGAACUCUCCAUGUGAUUUGGCUAAGAGAGGGAGCGUUAAAGCUAACUCAUUCUUGUAGGGCCCAUUUGGUUCGGCUUUUGGAGAAUGCAUUUGCCAAAAUGCAAAUACCUUUGGGUGAAUAGGGUUUUCCGAAAUGCAAAUAUCGUUUGAUAAAAUUUGCAUUGAGAUAUAACUUUGGCCAAAAUACCGUUUGGUAAAAUUUGCAUCUGUAAAGGACUUUUAUUAAAUUAAAAAAAACAAAAAAAAAACAUUAGUAUUUUUUUUUUUGAAGUCUGGCCAUCGGAUUGCCGGAUCUGGCGGCCGGAUGGUCGGAUCUAGCGGCACGACCCCAGGCGACCUCAUGUGGCCGCUUGGGUCGCGCGACCCAGGCCAUCAAUCGCCUGGGUCACGCGACCCAGGCGUCGCCUGAGGUCUGGCAACGGUCACCGGGGUCGGGCGACCCUCAGGCGGCAGUCACUAGAGCCUCGUCGGCACGCGUGACCCCUUAGCUGAUGACCCGCCGGCCUCCGAUCAGCUUCUUCCGAUGGUGUGCGGUGGUUUUUGAGAAGAUGAACAAUACUGAACUUGCAUUCCAGAGAUGCAACUUCCCAAAAUACCUCCGGAGCUGCAUUAGACUAAAGGCCUUUAGAGCCACUUGGAGAUGCAAUUGCAUCUCGCCAAAGUCACUCAAAAAAACAAAUCAAACACAUUUGCAUUUGACCAAGGGACUUUAGAGUCCCAAAGGGCUUUCCAAAUGCCCAACCAAACAGGGCCGUAGUGUUUAUCUAUCUCUAGCUUUCCCAUGUGUGCAUAUGUAUGUUUUAGGGGAUCUCAUAAAUGUCAAGCCAAUGGAAACAAGCCGAAUGAGUCAUAUCGGAUUUGAUUGUGCUGAAAUUGACAUUGGUGUGCAUAUAGGCCUCGAAAGCUAGACUAUUAGAAAGACCCAGAUCCAUCAAAUUGGGGUUGAUGUGUCCGGAGAUAUGAAUUUCACAUAAUAAGAAUAGCAUAUGCCUAAGCUUUCUUCAUGUUCUAAUUUGUGACUGUUGCAGAUAAACUGAAACAACUGGGUUUGCGCAGAGUUGUCAAAUCAGCCAGCAAAAUUAAACCCGACCACAUUGCGGUGAGGUGAAUAUAUCUAAAGAAAAGCAAUGUGGUAUGAUCCUCAUGACAAUGACAACACUUGAAUUUAAAUCACAGAGUUGCUAGACUAUAUUAGCUCUAGAUUGAUUGUGCAUCAGGUCAUUAAUUUCUGUUUUUAUCCUUGACAUGCUUUGAAAAGGAUCCUCGUACUGUCUUGGUCAGAAAUCGUUGGUUGUCUUCUUCUUUCUGAUGACAAAACUGCAGAAAGUGCACUUGAGUAAAGAGUUCCCGGCCCAUUCCCAAAGAUGCACUUCAAGAAAAGCCUGUGGACUGUGGCUCUCAUAUAUCAGGACAAAUCAUGGCCGGUGAAGCGCAUUAGCCACGAACAUUAUGGAAAGUUAUCUGUUGGUUGGGCUACUUUCUCGAGAGAAACUUCUCUGAAGGAGGGAGGCUUGUGCAUGUUCAAGCUCUAUUAGAAGGGGCAACGUCGUGUUCAGAGUAUACAUCUUCAAGACCACUAGCCAGAGGUAGGUGAAAAAUCCUAUGCAAUAGGACACGGCAAAGGAAGCAUCACUUUAGCUCAGAAUUGCUUGGCUAAAAUCUGCUUCAAAUUUGACAAAUCAGAAAAAAGCAUGAGUUUUAUUCUAAUGAAUGGAAAGAUACCUUUAAUCGAUCCUAGUGUUACAGUCACCACGUGGGGAUGACCGAAUGAGUCAUGAGUCAUGAGACGGAGGAAGCUGAUUGCUUCUAGUACAAGUCACACAGCCUCAUUUCCUUACUCCUCCCAUAGUAGAUUUUCGUCGUCAUCGAACCACUCUCUAUAUUUCAAAACCCAAAAGGAAAUUUAUAUUCAUUUAAGCAAAGAGAGACAAUAAAACGAUGUAAAAGCCGUCCUUCAAGUCUAUAUUAAUCAAAAUAUCCAAUGCUCUCUAGUGAUUAAUACAUAGAUUCUAAUUAUAAUCGGACAUCUACCGAGCACAACCGAAAAAGAGUUCUAUAAGCUAGCAAUGACCUAAAAAAUAGUUCCACAAGAGGGCUCAACCUCCUCGACUUAUUAAAUGAAUCACGAGGCAAGGAAAAGAGAACUUGGGCAAUUAAUGGCAUUAAACGCAAUUAAUGCGAAUCAUGCAGAAAUUAUUAGAAGUAUAGUGAGUUGGGGCUUAGAUGGUGUUCCUUACUCAUGUCAAUUGGCAAUGAUAAAGAAAAGUAACUAACUUGUGUGAAAGUUAUCAAUCAUUUAAAAAUUUAGUGUCACUUUAAAACUUACAAAAUUUAUUAAUCAGAUAAAAAAAUUAAAAAAAAAAUGUACGAUUACAAAUUACUUUCAAUCUGCAGAGCGUUACUUACAAAUUUGAAAAACUCUUUUAUGCAUGUGACACUCCAAAUUCCAUAUGGAUUGGAAGAGGGAUAAUUGACCAAUAGAUAAGUGUGAACACAAACCACCACCGCUAGAUAUUCACCUCCUGAAAAACUUAUUUAGGGGCUUAGAUCAUAACAAAUCGGAUUGUUAAUAUUAGAAAAUUCCAUGCCUAACUUAUAGCUCGAACUUGCACAUUAAUUAAAGAUAUUUAACUUGGUAUUUGGCUCAAAUAAAAGUUGUACUCUACAAUGCUAACCUAAGAAAAGUAUAUAAUUCUCUCAAAUUAAGAUAGGUAAUUUCGCACAAAAAGUGUUAAGCGUGAUUGUGGUUGGUGGAGGAGAAAUACCUAUGUAGAUAAACCAAGAAAGCGAAUCUUUUUAAUACGAAAGUAAGUUAUACUAGCCAUUUAGCUUAAUUCUCCAAAAAAGUAUCAACUUUAUCUGGAGUAUUAAUUCAGGCAUAACCUUUUUUUUGUAACAAAAAAUCAUCAACUUCCAUGCCUAAAUCUGACUCCGAUUAGCUUUCCAUCAACUAAUGGUGUUAAAUGUUUGAUGCAUCAAUUUCACGUCAUUAUCUUUUUCCAAGUCAGAAUUCAUAUAUAUAUGCUGUCUUCUUUUUUCUUUAUUUCUUUUUUCCAUUUCCCUUUUUCUUUCUUCUUCUUCUUCCUUUCACUGGACGAUAACCUGACCACCGUGAGUCAGCCGUACGAUCCAAUCAACGGCCCAGCCCUCCGUCCACCACCACCUCGCCACCUUCCACAACCCCAGCCGUAUUCCUGUUUUUCCCAGCCUCUCGCCACAUAUCUCCACCACCACCGCCUCUACUCUUGGCCGAUGACCCCUGGCUUCCGAUGUCCAGUAGCCUGGCCGUGGCUUGUCCUCGCUGUCGUCGAGCUCGAGCUCGGCCGGCGCUCUCGAGCCUCAAAUUUUGGAUCUAAGCUCAAGCGAGCCCUAGAUUCGAGAUAGGGGGUCAGCUGGACCUCGGACUUGGGUUGAUUAAGGUCGAGCGGGGUCGACGGCAAUCACAACUAGAUUUUUGGAGGUUAAUAUCCGUUCGUCCAUGGCUUUUCAAUCCAAGUCUGUGCAUGUUGAUUAAUUGAAAAUGAGUGAAUCAGCAGAAAGUUUAGAUUUUUUUUGUUCAGAAUAAGAUCACGACCAGUUUCAUUUAAAAUAUAUGCAAUAAAAUAAAAUAAAAUAAAAUAAAAUAAAAUAAAAUGCAAUGACAGAAGAGAAGCAUUGUACAGUUAGUCACUUUGCCUUCAAGAAGCUGAAAAAAAAAGUUGGAAAUGGGCUCUGGAAUACAGAUUUAGCUCAUUCCACUGAAGAGUACAAAGAAAUGUGUGCAGAUGGAGUAGAAGGUCGCCGAGGUAGGAGGUCUGGAUGCUGGGGUUCCAUCCACGGUUGCCGCCGACAAAUGUGGUCGGUGACGGUGGCAGAGGCCGGAGACACUAUGGCGGCUGCAAGGAGGAAGUGGAGGAUGACAGGGUGGGAUGAUGGUGGCCAUGGACGGACAACCUUUAGGUAGCGAAAGGAAGAAGGAAGAUUAUAAAAAGAAUAAGAAAAGGAAAAGCUACAUAUAAUUCUGAUUUGGGAAAAAAGAAUGAGUGGAAUUGACAAAUGAGACGUUUGAGGUUGAUGAUGCUCUUUGGACGGACAAAAAGUUAACAGAGGUCAGAUUUGGAUAUGAAGUCAAAGUUGGUGAUUGUUUAUGAGAUACUAAAGAAAAAAUAUUUGGGGCCAGAAUUGAGAUUUGAACCUAAAUUGGUGCAAUUUUGAGGAAUUAAGCCCUUGCUAUUUUUUUUUUUUUGGACAAUAAGCCCUUGCUAUUUAGAAUCAUCGUUUUCGACUAUGUUUUAAAAAUGGUAGUGUCUAUAACAUGAUAACAACAUGAACAGUAAUAAGCAAGAGAAUGAAUUAGGGCAUAUUUAUUUUCGCGGCAGAAAAUGCUGCAGGCAGAGUCUUUCUAUUGAAGAGAUGAUCCUGCCCCCACGGACGAGGACACUUAACACCUACAAAACACAAACGGGGCGAGGGAGUUUCUAUUGGUGGGUUCCAUCAUCAUUAUAUUUAUCUAUGUGAUGUAGAUGUUUCCGUAAUGGGUUCUCCAUUCUUUUCAUUUUCUUGAGUUUAAGCUUCCAUCACUUAUCUGAAAAUGGAGAAGCUGGACUCAAAAAAAUUUUGAACUACUACCAAAUAAAAAAUUGUUGGAUGAUAAUUAAUAAUGUUUCAUUACUUUAAUAGUUUUGAUGGCUUAAAUCUAUUACCAAAAAAGUCAUAAACUUAUUUUUUUGACUAAUUGAGUCCUAAACCUUUUACAAUUAUUUCCGAUCAGUCCAUUCGGUCAAAAUUGGGUAGUCGGCACUGAUGUGGCUGUGACACCCCUCGACGGCCCCCGAUCCGAUUAGGGUCGUCACAGUUCGCUUACCAUUCACUUUCCUUAUUAACAUAUCACUCUGAUACCAUUUCAAUUGUAGCGGGUCCAUACAACCGUGGGGGUUUACACACAUUUUUUUUUUUGAUAGGUCCCUUGCGCAAUUCAUAUACGGAAGCACAUCUAGCAAACUCCCUUCCUUAUAUUUAGAAAACUAUGCACACCUACUAAACAUCUUAUAUAAGUUAAAGCCGUACACUUUUAUUUACAUAAAGCAGAUGGACAUCUUUAGUCGGUACAUCAAAAUGCCGUAGUUUUCUAUACUCGGCUACACUUCAAAAGAUGACCGACAUCUCCUCCCACAAUCGCAUGCUUAAGGUCCAUCAUCCAGUGUCGGCGUCCAAAGGUUCCCUCCUUUGCUAUCCUUCUCCUCGCGGUCAUAUCCAACCGCUCAAACCAUCUACUAAUCUGAAAUGUUGGUCCCCAAAAGGGGUGAGUACUACCACUCAGCAGAUAAGGAAUCCAAUAACAACUCAAUGCAUCAUGCAAAUCAUACAUGCAUUGCAGGCGUAACUUACCUUGCAGCCAUGCGUAAUACUAUCAUGCAUCAUCAUGCCUUAUCAUCAUGCAUAUCAUAUCAUCAUAUGUCAUCAUCAUAAUCAUCAUCAUGGCAUCAUUAUAUCAUACAUGUCAUCCUUAUCAUGACAUCAUCACAUCACAUAUUAUCAUCAUCAUCAUGCAUAUCAUCAUGCANNNNNNNNNNNNNNNNNNNNNNNNNNNNNNNNNNNNNNNNNNNNNNNNNNNNNNNNNNNNNNNNNNNNNNNNNNNNNNNNNNNNNNNNNNNNNNNNNNNNCAUCACAUAUCAUCACCAUCAUCAUGCAUAUCAUCAUGCAUAUCAUACCAUGGGUGAUCAUUAUAUCACAUCACAUAUCAUCACCAUCAUCAUGCAUAUCAUCAUGCAUAUCAUACCAUGGUUUAAUUUUCAUCUUUAUCUUUCAAUUUUGAUCACCACAUCACCCAUUCAUCAAUCUCAUCAUCAAUUUCAUCCCAUAUUUUACCCUCGCAUCCCAUGCGAGAAAAACCUCCGGGCAUGUAUCCAAGAUACAACCGGGCAUCCGGCCCCCCACAUUCCGGGCAUCUCGCAUCCCAACUAGCAUCACGAGGAACCUCCAGGCAUGUAUCCAAGAUACAACCGGACAUCUGGCCUUUACCCUUCUAGCCAGGCAUCCCGCACCCCAAUCCUGGUGUCGCGAGGAACCUCCGGGCAUGUAUCCAAGAUACAACCGGACUUCCGGCCCCCCACAUUCCAUGCAUCCUGAAUCUCCCAGGGAAUCUCUGGAAUUACGCCACCAGGCCACCAGACAUCAUCAUCCACCACAACCACAUCCUCAUUUACCAUCAUCCACAUAUACCAUUUCUUUAUCUCAAUUUAACAUGGCAAUUGGCAUGGUAUCAAACAAAUCACACUUGACAUGGAAUUCACACUUGCAUCUCAAUUCAUAUGUCAUACACAUGCCAAAACUUUAUCCCAUACACAUCUCAAUUCAAUACAUGUACAAGGACCAUGUCAUACGCAUACCAAGACUUUAUUACAUAUACAUCUCAAUCCAAUACAUGUGCAAAGACCUCAUCACACAUAUGCCACACAAAUAGAAUUGAAUCCAUGGCCAAAUAAAAAUCCAUUUUAUUUUAUUAUUAUUUUAUUUAUUUAUUUUCAUAAAUAAAUAUUAAAUUUAAUAUCUAUGAUUUUCCCAAAAUCAUAGUAUUCAAACAAUCACUAAACAAAUCAAUAGGAUCACAAUUUCAUACAAAAUUCAUAGCCAAAUUGAAUUUCUCAUAAUUUCACAAUUUCCACAAAAUAGCACAUGAUAUUCGGAUAAUGACCAGAAUUGCACAGUUUUCAAAUAAAUUAGAUUAAAAUACUCAUAUGGCCUUCAAAAAUUACGAAAUUUUACAGGGUGAUAGCCAAGACAUUUUCGUGCAACUUUCAUGAAGAACUCUAAGUCAGAUUAUUUUUAUAUUAAUUUAUACAUCCUCACGAAACUUCUGGAACCACUACCGCAUCGUCCAGAAUACACAUCUCCGAAAUAUUAAGGUUUCACCCAUCUAU
rnacentral:lncRNA from 1 species